CGGACUCAUACUGAAACCUAGUGAUCUAUGAGUUAGUGGCGGACCCUUUAGUAACGCGUGGAUAACCUGCCGUAUACCGGGGGAUAACACUUAGAAAUAGGUGCUAAUACCGCAUGAGCGCACAGCUCCGCAUGGAGCGGUGUGAAAAACUCCGGUGGUAUACGAUGGAUCCGCGUCUGAUUAGCCAGUUGGCGGGGUAACGGCCCACCAAAGCGACGAUCAGUAGCCGGCCUGAGAGGGUGAACGGCCACAUUGGGACUGAGACACGGCCCAGACUCCUACGGGAGGCAGCAGUGGGGAAUAUUGCACAAUGGGGGAAACCCUGAUGCAGCGACGCCGCGUGAGUGAAGAAGUAUCUCGGUAUGUAAAGCUCUAUCAGCAGGAAAGAUAAUGACGGUACCUGACUAAGAAGCCCCGGCUAACUACGUGCCAGCAGCCGCGGUAAUACGUAGGGGGCAAGCGUUAUCCGGAUUUACUGGGUGUAAAGGGAGCGUAGACGGCAGCGCAAGUCUGGAGUGAAAUGCCGGGGCCCAACCCCGGAACUGCUUUGGAAACUGUGCGGCUCGAGUGCGGGAGAGGUAGGCGGAAUUCCUAGUGUAGCGGUGAAAUGCGUAGAUAUUAUGAGGAACACCAGUGGCGAAGGCGGCUUACUGGAC
rnacentral:rRNA from 1 species